UGCUACCUAGGCCUGCAGGUAAUGCAUGUUACCUAGGCCUGCAGGUAAUGCAUGUUACCUAGACCUGCAGGUAAUGCAUGUUACCUAGGCCUGCAGGUAAUGUAUGUCACCUAGGCCUGCAGGUAAUGCAUGCUACCUAGGCCUGCAGGUAAUGUAUGUUACCUAGACCUGCAGGUAAUGCAUGUUACCUAGGCCUGCAGGUAAUGCAUGUUCUAG